rnacentral:rRNA from 1 species
CCCUUAGAUGUUCUGGGCUGCACACGUGCUACCCUGGCAGGUUCAGCGAGCUUCAUGCCCUGCUCUGAAAGGAAUGGGAAAUCUUUUCAAAACCUGCCGUGCUUGGGAUAGAUGUUUGCAAUUAUUCAUCUUCAACGAGGAUUGCCUUGUAAGCGCACGUCAUCAGCGUGCAUUGAAUACGACCCUGUAUUCUGUACACACCGCCCGUCGCUCCUACCGAUUGAAGUUUUCGGUGAGUUGACAGGAGGAUUUUUUUGAAACUGGUUCGCCAGUGGAUUUUAGAUCCAAAUGCCAACGAAUCGAUGGCUUUAGAGGAAGGAGAAGUCGUAACA